rnacentral:rRNA from 1 species
UACGUAGGGACGAGCGUUGUCCGGAAUUACUGGGCGUAAAGGGCGCGCAGGCUGUAGAUCAAGUCAGCUGUGAAAUGUCUGGGCUUAACCCGGGCAUGCGGUUGAAACUGAUGUACUGGAGUGCUGUAGAGGCAAGUGGAAUUCCCAGUGUAGCGGUGAAAUGCGUAGAUAUUGGGAAGAACACCGGUGGCGAAGGCAGGUCUCUGGGCAGUUACUGACGCUGAGGAGCGAAAGCAUGGGUAGCGAACAGGAUUAGA